GGAGAGAUGGCCGAGUAGGUCUAAGGCGCUCGCCUGCUAAGCGAGUAUGUGGGGAAACUUGCAUCCAGGGUUCGAAUCCCUGUCUCUCCGCCA
rnacentral:tRNA from 1 species